rnacentral:rRNA from 1 species
GACGAACGCUGGCGGCGUGCCUAACACAUGCAAGUCGAACGAGUCCACCUCUUUCGGGGGGUGAGGCGAGUGGCGGACGGGUGAGUAACACGUGAGCAACCUGUCCCUGUGCGGGGGACAACCCGGGGAAACUCGGGCUAAUACCGCAUGGGCGGGACCUUCGAGUGAAGGACCUGGGAAAGGCGGCCUCUUUACAAUGCUGUCGUGCAGGGAGGGGCUCGCGGGCUAUCAGCUAGUUGGUGAGGUAACGGCUCACCAAGGCAGCGACGGCUAGGGGGUCUGAGAGGACGACCCCCCACAUUGGAACUGAGACACGGUCCAGACUCCUACGGGAGGCAGCAGUGGGGAAUUUUGGGCAAUGGCCGAAAGGCUGACCCAGCGACGCCGCGUGCGGGAGGACGCCCCUCGGGGUGUAAACCGCUGUCAGGGGGGAAGAAACCUUCAGGUGGGAAUACUGCCUGGAAUUGACGGUACCCUCAAAGGAAGCACCGGCUAACUCUGUGCCAGCAGCCGCGGUAAUACAGAGGGUGCAAGCGUUGUUCGGAAUCACUGGGCGUAAAGCGCGCGCAGGCGGGCUGACAAGUGGGGAGUGAAAUUCCGGGGCUCAACUCCGGAACUGCUUUCCAAACUGUCAGUCUAGGGACCGGUAGGGGCUGGUAGAAUUCCCGGUGUAGCGGUGGAAUGCGUAGAUAUCGGGAAGAAUACCCGUGGCGAAGGCGGCCAGCUGGGCCGGGUCCGACGCUGAGGCGCGAAAGCGUGGGGAGCAAACAGGAUUAGAUACCCUGGUAGUCCACGCCGUAAACGAUGGGCACUAGGCGCUGGGGGGAGCGACCCCGUCAGUGCCGUAGCCAACGCGAUAAGUGCCCCGCCUGGGGAGUACGGCCGCAAGGCUGA